rnacentral:lncRNA from 10 species
GCCUAUAUUAUAUAGGCACCAUUACAUUCCAGCUGGCAUUAGUAUUCUACAUAAUGAACAACAAGCUAUCAAGUAAAUACUAACACUUUGUUUUCUAAAGCUUACCAAGCAUCUUCCACCAAGAACAAUUGGCUAUCCAUGGACUCUUGUUUAUGGUACUGGAAAACAUGGCACAAGCUUGAAAACUCUUUAUCGAACAAUGACAGGUUUAGACACCCCAGUGCUGAUGGUGAUUAAAGACAGUGAUGGACAGGUUUUUGGUGCGUUAGCAUCUGAGCCACUGAAAGUGAGUGAUGGCUUUUAUGGUACUGGAGAGACCUUUGUUUUUACAUUCUGUCCGGAGUUUGAGGUAAGAACCACUAUUUCAAUAUUUUAUUUAUAAAGAGUUGACAUAACAUACUGCCCAAAGCAAUUUAUAGAUUCAGUGCUAUUCCCAUUAAACUACCACUGAUAUUCUUCACAGAAUUAGGAAAAACUAUUUUAAAGUUCAUGUGGAACCCAAAAAGAGCCCAAAUA